GACGGACGCUGGCGGCGUGCCUAAUACAUGCAAGUUGAGCGCUGAAGGUUGGUACUUGUACCAACUGGAUGAGCAGCGAACGGGUGAGUAACGCGUGGGGAAUCUGCCUUUGAGCGGGGGACAACAUUUGGAAACGAAUGCUAAUACCGCAUAAAAACUUUAAACACAAGUUUUAAGUUUGAAAGAUGCAAUUGCAUCACUCAAGAUGAUCCCGCGUUGUAUUAGCUAGUUGGUGAGGUAAAGGCUCACCAAGGCGAUGAUACAUAGCCGACCUGAGAGGGUGAUCGGCCACAUUGGGACUGAGACACGGCCCAAACUCCUACGGGAGGCAGCAGUAGGGAAUCUUCGGCAAUGGACGAAAGUCUGACCGAGCAACGCCGCGUGAGUGAAGAAGGUUUUCGGAUCGUAAAACUCUGUUGGUAGAGAAGAACGUUGGUGAGAGUGGAAAGCUCAUCAAGUGACGGUAACUACCCAGAAAGGGACGGCUAACUACGUG
rnacentral:rRNA from 1 species